GACGAACGCUGGCGGCGUGCUUAACACAUGCAAGUCGAGCGAGGCCCCUCCUUCGGGAGGGUGUCCUAGCGGCGAACGGGUGAGUAACACGUGGGCAACCUGCCCUCAGCUCUGGGAUAACUCCGGGAAACCGGGGCUAAUACCGGAUACGACCUCCACGGGCAUCUGCGGAGGUGGAAAGUUUUUCGGCUGAGGAUGGGCCCGCGGCCUAUCAGCUAGUUGGUGGGGUAGUGGCCCACCAAGGCGACGACGGGUAGCCGGCCUGAGAGGGCGACCGGCCACACUGGGACUGAGACACGGCCCAGACUCCUACGGGAGGCAGCAGUGGGGAAUAUUGCGCAAUGGGCGAAAGCCUGACGCAGCGACGUCGCGUGAGGGACGAAGGCCUUCGGGUUGUAAACCUCUUUCAGCAGGGACGAAGCGAAAGUGACGGUACCUGCAGAAGAAGCACCGGCCAACUACGUG
rnacentral:rRNA from 1 species